rnacentral:rRNA from 1 species
CUGGUAGUCCACGCUGUAAACGAUGAGUACUAAGUGUCGGGGUAACUCGGUACUGAAGUUAACACAUUAAGUACUCCGCCUGAGUAGUACGUACGCAAGUAUGAAACUUAAAGGAAUUGACGGGACUCCGCACAAGCGGUGGAUCAUGUUGUUUAAUUCGAAGAUACACGAAAAACCUUACCAGGUCUUGACAUACUCUGCAAAGCUAUAGAAAUAUAGUGGAGGUUAUCAGGGAUACAGGUGGUGCAUGGUUGUCGUCAGUUCGUGUCGUGAGAUGUUAGGUUAAGUCCUAAAACGAACGCAACCCCUGUCGCUAGUUGCCAGCACGUAAUGGUGGGGACUUUAGCGAGACUGCCAAUUAAACAUUGGAGGAAGGUGGGGAUAACGUCAAAUCAUCAUGCCCCUUAUGAUCUGGGCUACAAACGUGAUACAAUGGCUAUUACAAAGAGUAGCUGAAACGCGAGUUUUUAGCCAAUCUCAAAAAGGUAGUCUCAGUACGGAUUGAAGUCUGCAACUCGACUUCAUGAAGCUGGAAUCGCUAGUAAUCGCGAAUCAGCAUGUCGCGGUGAAUACGUUCUCGGGGUUUGUACACACCGCCCGUCAAACCACGAAAGUUAGCAAUACCCGAAAGCAGUGGCUUAACUUCGAAAGAAGAGGGAGCUGUCUAAGGUAGGGUUGAUGAUUGGGGUUAAGUCGUAACAAGGUAUCCUUACCGGAAGGUGAGGAUGGAUCACCUCCUU